AUUGAACGCUGGCGGCAGGCCUAACACAUGCAAGUCGAACGGUAACAGGAAGAAGCUUGCUUCGUUGCUGACGAGUGGCGGACGGGUGAGUAAUGUCUGGGAAACUGCCUGAUGGAGGGGAUAACUACUGGAAACGGUAGCUAAUACCGCAUAACGUCGCAAGACCAAAGAGGGGGACCUUCGGGCCUCUUGCCAUCGGAUGGGCCCAGAUGGGAUUAGCUAGUAGGUGGGGUAACGGCUCACCUAGGCGACGAUCCCUAGCUGGACUGAGAGGAUGACCAGCCACACUGGAACUGAGACACGGUCCCGACUCCUACGGGAGGCAGCAGUGGGGAAUAUUGCACGAUGGGCGCAAGCCUGAUGCAGCCAUGCCGCGUGUAUGAAGAAGGCCUUCGGGUUGUAAAGUACUUUCAGCGGGGAGGAAGGGAGUAAAGUUAAUACCCUUGCUCAUUGACGUUACCCGCAGAAGAAGCACCGGCUAACUCCGUG
rnacentral:rRNA from 1 species